GCAUCAAUUAGCUCAGUUGGUUAGAGCAUGGUGCUAAUAAUGCUAAGGUCACGGGUUCAAUCCCUGCUCACUGCA
rfam:Pelecanus crispus contig109296, whole genome shotgun sequence.